UAAGGAAUAUUGGUCAAUGGACGCAAGUCUGAACCAGCCAUGCCGCGUGAAGGAUGAAGGUCCUCUGGAUUGUAAACUUCUUUUAUAGGGGGCGAAAAAAGGGAAAUCUUUCUCACUUGACAGUACCCUAUGAAUAAGCACCGGCUAACUCCGUGCCAGCAGCCGCGGUAAUACGGAGGGUGCAAGCGUUAUCCGGAUUCACUGGGUUUAAAGGGUGCGUAGGCGGGCGUAUAAGUUAGUGGUGAAAUCCUGGAGCUUAACUCCAGAACUGCCAUUGAUACUAUAUGUCUUGAAUAUGGUGGAGGUAAGCGGAAUAUGUCAUGUAGCGGUGAAAUGCAUAGAUAUGACAUAGAACACCUAUUGCGAAGGCAGCUUACUACGCCUAUAUUGACGCUGAGGCACGAAAGCGUGGGGAUCAAACAGGAUUAGAUACCCUGGUAGUCCACGCCCUAAACGAUGAUUACUCGACGUGUGCGAUAAACGGUACGCGUCUGAGCGAAAGCAUUAAGU
rnacentral:rRNA from 1 species